CAGUAGCCGCGGUAAUACGAAGGGUGCAAGCGUUAAUCGGAAUUACUGGGCGUAAAGCGUGCGUAGGCGGUGAGUUAAGUCUGCUGUGAAAUCCCCGGGCUCAACCUGGGAAUGGCAGUGGAUACUGGCUCGCUAGAGUGUGUCAGAGGAUGGUGGAAUUCCCGGUGUAGCGGUGAAAUGCGUAGAGAUCGGGAGGAACAUCAGUGGCGAAGGCGGCCAUCUGGGACAACACUGACGCUGAGGCACGAAAGCGUGGGGAGCAAACAGGAUUAGAGACCCCCGUAGUCCCUGUCUCUUAUAC
rnacentral:rRNA from 1 species